AGAUCUUGGUGGUAGUAGCAAAUACUCAAAUGAGAACUUUGAGGACUGAAGUGGGGAAAGGUUCCGUGUGAACAGCAGUUGGACACGGGUUAGUCGAUCCUAAGCCAUAGGGAAACUCCGUUUUAAAGUGCGCUCUCGGGCGCCGCCUGGCGAAAGGGAAACCGGUUAAUAUUCCGGUACCUCGAUGUGGAUUAUCCGCGGCAACGCAACUGAAGGUGGAGACGUCGGCGGGGGCCCCGGGAAGAGUUCUCUUUUCUUCUUAACUGUCUAUCACCCUGAAAUCGGUUUGUCCGGAGCUAGGGUUUAAUGGCAGGUAGAGCUGCACACC
rnacentral:rRNA from 1 species